UAUUUUGUUCUAUUUUUGGUCAGAUCUCAAUGUUUUCCAAUACAGAUUACUGGUUGGCCAUUGGAGUUAAUGGCUUAUGCUUAUUUAGCUGUUAGUCCUCCAAGCAUGAUAGCGCGAUCUGAAAAGCAGCAUCAAAUAAAAGUACCGCCAAGAAAGAUUCGAGAUAUCCUGAAAUAGAGGAGCAAGCAUUGUGCGAAUCCAGUAUAUCAAAAUACAACAAUAAUUUGUAAUCCUCUUUA